rnacentral:piRNA from 1 species
UACACGAAGUUGUCCUUCAAC